CCUCUACAAGUGUGACAUCAGCGGUCAUGGAGAGUCUCCAUCCAGCUGGAUCACUGUCACAGGGGAACACACCACCACACCUCCACCUGCAUUUUCUGCUGGUUCGUCCCUUCUCCCUGUGUUGCUGACAGCUCAAUCAGCCUGUGUUGUAGUUAUACUGGAGUUACUGGUUCUUUUGCUGGAAUGAAACGUUCAAAGGAAACUCAAAGUUCUGACUCCAGUGCUUUGCUGCACAACAAACCAAGCUACACCUCCACCUGCAGCCACAGCUCCAUCUGCAGCCACCUCUGCAUUGGCCUCUCUGGAUUUUUACUCUCUUCUCCCCAUGGUGGUGACUGCUGCGUUGGUCUGUCUCGUGGUUGUAGUGGUGUUAAUGUUUCUUUUGAUGGAACAAACCAGUCACAGUCAACUUGAAGAGAGGACAGACAACAUCAUUUAUGGAGAAAUCGUCACCAAAGACAAGCAACACAAAUCAGCUAAAAGAGAGUUUCCAAGAGAGCCAGACGUCAUCUACUCUGAAGUGAAGCAUUUCACCAGUCCAGCCACUGAGAUCCAGCUGCAGGUCUCUCACAGUCCUCAAAGCACCUGAUGAAGAUUUUUAUGUGAAGAACCUGCAAAAACAAAGAAAUAAACAAAUGUGCCUUCAGCAACAUGUAGUUAAGCGAGAAUAUAACUAAUAUAUUAAUCUAAUGCUGUGUAUUUAAUGCUAUUUAUAUAUUUUAUUUCUAAAUGUGGGGCCCUGCUGGUGUCUUCACAGCAGUAAUUUGGUUUCUCUGCAGGAUCAGUAAACUUUAGUCUCCCUUGUUGUUCUUCUCAUGUGGCUUUGUGAGUUUCAUAAAGACGUCUGAGAGGAAACUAUGAAUAGUUACGGCCAACAGAUACACACCUCUGUUUGGAGCAGAUAACAAAGAAAGAAACCACCAAAACUUGACUUCAACUGCAGACUAAAGCAGGAAUCAUUCAAAGCUGGAAAAUAAAGACUGAGAACAAAGGGUGUGAGUUUGAAUAACUUUGAUUUGAAGAAAUUAAAUAUUAAAUAUGUGAGACUUUAUUUUCAGGUCAUUUGCGGCUUUUCUAGAGUCCUCGCUUGUUGUUGUUUUUACUGUAACAUACUAAACAUGCGCUUUUUCAGUCCAAAGGUUUUCAAAUUGGGGUUUCCAAACAGGCAGAACAACCCUAACCUUGUAUGAGUUGCCAAAGACCUGAUAGCUGUGAGGGGGUAAAACUGAUCAAGUGGGGACAAAAAGAGAAAUGCUUCUUCACAUCUGUCUUUAGUUCUUUUAAGCUAUGUAUUGGUGCUGUUUAUUCAGUUUAUCCUACUGUAAUAAAUGCUCACUUGCAGGAGUCAUGUGUUUGUAGAAAAAUGAGCUGUAAUGUGUUCUGGGAGGAGUGAAAUGCAGUUCAUGAAUGUGAUAUUUGCCUGUAAGCUUUUUUACAACUGUGUCCUUCUGUUUAAGUGUGAAAUAAAAUGAAUAUGAUGAUAAAGUGA